rnacentral:rRNA from 1 species
GAUGAACGCUGGCGGCGUGCCUAACACAUGCAAGUCGAGCGGCAGCGAGGGGUGCUUGCACCCUGUCGGCGAGCGGCGGACGGCUGAGUAACGCGUGGGAACGUGCCCCAAAGUGAGGAAUAACUGCCCGAAAGGGUAGCUAAUACCGCAUAUUAUCUUCGGAUCAAAGGAUUUAUCCGCUUUGGGAGCGGCUCGCGUCGGAUUAGGUAGUUGGUGAGGUAAUGGCUCACCAAGCCGACGAUCCGUAGCUGGUCUGAGAGGAUGACCAGCCAGACUGGAACUGAGACACGGUCCAGACUCCUACGGGAGGCAGCAGUGAGGAAUCUUCCACAAUGGGCGAAAGCCUGAUGGAGCAACGCCGCGUGCAGGACGAAGGCCUUCGGGUUGUAAACUGCUUGUAUAAGUGAGGAAUAUGACGGUAACUUAUGAAUAAGGAUCGGCUAACUACGUG